AGAGUUUGAUUCUGGCUCAGAACGAACGCUGGCAGCGUGGAUUAGGCAUGCAAGUCUAACGGGAAUCCGUGAGUUCAAGUUUUCGGACAGGAACUUGCGGAGGAUAGUGGCGAAAGGGUGAGUAACGCGUGGGUAAUUUACCUCCGAGUUGGGGACAACACUUCGAAAGGGGUGCUAAUACCGGAUAUGGUCUCCCAGCGCAUGGUGGGAAGAUUAAAGGUGGGGAUCCUUCGGGACCUGCCGCUUGGAGAGAAGCCCGCGUACCAUCAGCUUGUUGGUAGGGUAACGGCCUACCAAGGCUUACGGUUAGCUGGUCUGAGAGGAUGGUCAGCCACACUGGGACUGAGACACUGCCCAGACUCCUACGGGAGGCUGCAGUCGAGGAUCAUUUGCAAUGCGCGAAAGCGUGACAAUGCACGCUGCGUGGAGGAUGACGGCCUUCGGGUUGUAAACUCCUGUCAUUCGGGAAAAAUCGUUUGGGUGUUAAUAACACCUGAACUUGAUGGUACCGAAAGAGGAAGCCACGGCUAACUCUGUGCCAGCAGCCGCGGUAAUACAGAGGUGGCAAGCGUUGUUCGGGUUUACUGGGCGUAAAGGGUGCGUAGGUGGUCGCGUGUGUUGAAUGUGAAAGCCCAUUGCUCAUCGGUGGAAUUGCAUUCAAAACUGCGUGACUGGAGUACAGGAUGGGAGAGCGGAAUUCUUGGUGUAGCGGUGAAAUGCGUUGAUAUCAAGAAGAACACCGGUGGCGAAAGCGGCUCUCUGGAAUGUUACUGACACUGAGGCACGAAAGCUGGGGGAACAAACAGGAUUAGAUACCCUGGUAGUCCCAGCCGUAAACGGUGUACACUUGGUGUGGGGAGUAUUGACCCUCCCCGUGCCGGAGCUAACGCGUUAAGUGUACCGCCUGGGGAGUACGGCCGCAAGGCUAAAACUCAAAGAAAUUGACGGGGGCCCGCACAAGCGGAGGAGCAUGUGGCUUAAUUCGAUGCAACGCGAAGAACCUUACCAGGGCUUGACAUGGCGACCCUUCGGGGGUGGGAGCGAAAGUUUCCUUUACGAUCACAGGUGCUGCAUGGCUGUCGUCAGUUCGUGCCGUGAGGUGUUGGGUUAAGUCCCGCAACGAACGCAACCCUUGUGUCUAGUUGCCACCGCAGGUGAUAAGCCUGCGAGCACUCUAGACAGACUGCCCGUACAAGCGGGAGGAAGGUGGGGACGACGUCAAGUCAGUAUGGCCCUUACGCCCUGGGCUGCACACGUGCUACAAUGGUCGGUACAGAAGGACGCAAUACCGCGAGGUGGAGCAAAUCCCCAAAGCCGGCCCCAGUUCGGAUUGGAGUCUGCAACUCGACUCCAUGAAGUUGGAUUCGCUAGUAAUGGCGUAUCAGCUACGACGCCGUGAAUACGUUCCCGGGCCUUGUACACACCGCCCGUCACA
rnacentral:rRNA from 1 species